GAGAUUUUCCACUCGAAUAGUAGCUCUUUCCUCUCCCUACUUGAUCAAGUUCGACCAUUCAACAAUGUGCAUCCGGUGAUCUGUAGUAUUCUAACAAAAUUAUCCCCGAACCAAAACAGCGAGCUGAACAUACUCAACAGGUUUUAUCUAAACUUCUGCGAUCCACAAGUGAUGGAAAAUGGCAGCCCCCGAUAAAAGGCUAUAAAAAACGUGGAUUGGAUGGUUCUAAGGCCCAAGCCUUAAUUUGGCAUAUGUUGGAUGAUGUGGGCCCUACCUGGGAUAUUAAUUAGGCAUUGGCUGGAACAUUAAAGGCCGUGACUUUUCAUGAGCCUUGUGUCUUUUCAUUUAGGGAAGUUUGACCACAUAUUUAAUGCAUUCAACCUUUAUGUAUACAUUCAUCCUAUCCAGCCAUCUAGGGAAUAUGAAUAGUUAUUUGCAUUCACACAUUCAUUCUGCCUAGACCUAUUGGGAAUAGGACAGGGAGGAUAUGGUGAUUUUUCUUUGCAUGAUGGUUUCCUCUUCAAGGGAACCCGACUUUGCUUACCUAACACAUCACUCCGUGAAGAAAUGAUUUGGGAAUUUCAUUCCGGAGGGGCAGCAGGUCAUUUUGGAAGAGAUAAGACAAUUGCAAUGGCCGAAGAUCGCUUUUAUUGGCCAAAGCUGAAGUGAGAUGUGGGCAGGGUUGUUUCGCAAUGCCGUACUUGCCAACUUUCAAAGGGAAGAAAGAAGAAUACAGGUUUAUACACUCCGCUACCUGUGCCCCAUGAGCCUUGGCAGGAUUUAAGUAUGGAUUUUGUCCUUGGAUUACCAAAAACCCUUCGGGAACAUGACUCUAUCUUUGUGGUUGUGGAUCACUUCUCCAAAAUGGCACACUUCAUUCCUUGUUCAAAGACAUCGGAUGCUAUCCACAAUGCUAAGCUCUUCUUUCAAGAAGUUGUUAGACUUCCUGGAUUACCAAAGACCAUGGUCUCUGCCCGUGAUUCAAAGUUUGUGAGUUACUUCUAGCGAACGCUAUGGAAGUUGCUGAAUACAAAACUGAAAUUUUCUUCGGCUUUUCAUCCGCAAACUGAUGGUCAAACGGAGGUUGUUAACCGCAGUUUGGGUAAUCUAUUUCACUGCCUUGUGGGUGAUCAUGUUGGCAGCUGGGAUCAGGUGCUUCCCAUGGCUGAAUUUGCAUACAACAGCUCCGUAAAUAGAUCUACAGGACACAGCCCUUUCGAAAUUGUCACAGGUUUGCUCCUAGGAAACCAAUAGAUUUGGUUCCUCUACCUAUCCAGGCUCGCCCAAGUGCUGAAGCUGAAGCUUUUAGUCAACACAUCCGUGAUAUCCACGAUGAUGUGCGGCGAAAGAUUGCCAUCAGCAAUGAGAGCUACAAACAACAUGCUGAUUUGAGGCGGAGGUUUGCUGAAUUUGAUGAAGGCGACAUGGUUAUGGUUCAAGUCAAACCAGAACGGUAUCCUAAAGGGGUUUAUAAGAAACUUCAUUCAAAGAGUGCUGGUCCAUUUAAAGUUCUCACGAAAAUCAGCUCUAACGCCUAUGUGCUUGAAUUACCUGAUGAUAUGGGCAUAAGUAAUGUGUUCAAUAUUGAGGAUCUGACUCGAUAUUCCGGGCAUGUUGAGGAUAGUAACCGGGGCUGACCCUGUGGCAUCUCUCCCGGCAUCCAAACGUUUCGAGGAUGAAAUCGAAGAUGUGGUCGAUCAUCAAAUAAUUUUGACUCGACAUGGAGGUUAUCAAAAGUAUCUCAUUAAGUGGAAGGGGCAUUCACUUUCAGAUUGUACUUGGAUUACUGAAGAGGAAUUUCACCGCCUCAACCCGGACUUUCAUGAACAGUUCCAUGCUUUUAACUCGUCGGGGUCGAGUUCUCUCAAGCCGGGAAGAGUUGAUGGAAAAUGGCAGCACCCGAUAAAAGGCUAUAAAAAACGUGGAUUGGAUGGUUCUAAGGCCCCAGCCUUAAUUUGGCAUAUGUUGGAUGAUGUGGGCCCUACUUGGGAUAUUAAUUAGGCGUUGGCUGGAACAUUAAAGGCCGUGACUUUUCAUGAGUCUUGUGUCUUUUCAUUUAGGGAAGUUUGACCACAUAUUUAACGCAUUCAACCUUUAUGUAUACAUUCAUCCUAUCCAGCCAUCUAGGGAAUAUGAAUAGUUAUUUGCAUUCACACAUUCAUUCUGCCUAGACCUAUUGGGAAUAGGAGUAGUUAUUUGCAUUCAAGUAUUUUGGAGUCUAUAUAAGUCAUGUAAUCUCAAGAGCUUGAAUUAUGAUUGAAUGAAUGAAAAAUUAGCUUUAAGCUUUAUUGAUUGUGUGAUGCAAUCUCAUUCUUUGGUGCGAUGCUAAAAAGGCCUUAGGUGUGAUGCCUUUGGUAACCUAGGUGUGAGGCCUAGAUCUAUCCUUCUCUAAUUCUUCUCUCCUUCUUACAAAAUACUGUUCACGGCCCCAAAAAACAGCCCC